UGGGGAAUAUUGCACAAUGGAGGGAACUCUGAUGCAGCGACGCCGCGUGAGUGAUGAAGGAAUUCGUUUCGUAAAACUCUUUUCUAUGGGAAGAAAAGGACUGUACCAUAGGAGAAAGCUCCGGCUAAAUACGUGCCAGCAGCCGCGGUAAUACUUAUGGAGCGAGCGUUGUCCGGAAUUAUUGGGCGUAAAGGGUGCGCAGGCGGCUUUACAAGUUGGAUGUGAAAUAUUGUGGCUCAACCACAAACGUGCAUCCAAAACUGCGAAGCUUGAGUGAAGGAGAGGUAAGUGGAAUUCCUGGUGUAGCGGUGGAAUGCGUAGAUAUCAGGAGAAAUACAGGUGGCGAAGGCGACUUACUGGACUUAAACUGACGCUCAGGCACGAAAGCGUGGGGAGAAAAAAGG
rnacentral:rRNA from 1 species